rnacentral:rRNA from 1 species
UUGGAGGGCAAGUCUGGUGCCAGCAGCCGCGGUAAUUCCAGCUCCAAUAGCGUAUAUUAAAGUUGUUGCAGUUAAAAAGCUCGUAGUUGAAUUUCGGGAUCAAAUUGUUGGUCGUGCUUCGGUACGCACUGGCAUUAUUGGUUCCUACCUUCUGAAGAACCGCGAUGUCAUUAAUUUGGUGUCGUGGGGAAUCAGGACUGUUACUUUGAAAAAAUUAGAGUGUUUAAAGCAGGCUUACGCUUGAAUACAUUAGCAUGGAAUAAUGAAAUAGGACGUUUGAUUCUAUUUUGUUGGUUUCUAGGAUCGACGUAAUGAUUAAUAGGGAUAGUUGGGGGCAUUAGUAUUCAAUUGUCAGAGGUGAAAUUCUUGGAUUUAUUGAAGACUAACUACUGCGAAAGCAUUUGCCAAGGAUGUUUUCAUUAAUCAAGAACGAAAGUUAGGGGAUCGAAGACGAUCAGAUACCGUCGUAGUCUUAACCAUAAACUAUGCCGACUAGGG